rnacentral:rRNA from 1 species
UACAGAGGGGGCAAGCGUUGUUCGGAAUUACUGGGCGUAAAGGGCGCGUAGGUGGCGCGACAAGUCAGUGGUGAAAGCUCGGCGCUCAACGCCGAGUCGGCCACUGAUACUGUUGGGCUUGAGCACUGUAGAGGCAGAUGGAAUUCCGGGUGUAGCGGUGGAAUGCGUAGAGAUCCGGAAGAACACCGGUGGCGAAGGCGGUCUGCUGGGCAGUAGCUGACACUGAGGCGCGACAGCGUGGGGAGCAAACAGG